CUCUUGAAUGGGAAAGUGGAGCUGAAGAUGACGACUGCUGAAGCAGAGGAUGAAGCAGCUCAUGAACAUUUACCUGGAUCAGACCGAGGACAGCAUGGAGCAACAUCUGGGAGACGAGAUGUUUGAGGCGACACUCACUGAAGCUGAGGUGGAAGCCGUUAUACAGCUGAUGCUCCUGUUCAUUGAUAAGAUCGAGGCUGAAUCGCUGGGAGAUGAAGGGAUGAAUGUUACAGACACUGAGCCUGAAGCCCUGACACUCAACAUGAUGUAUAUGGAGGAAGUGGAAACACCUAAUGACUGUCCUCUGGGUGAGUAGUACAAAUUAACACUAGAUCUCAAGAAGAAAAUCACAGUUAAACUCUUAAAAUGUGAAAAUGGCAUUGUUCUCUUUUUCGUAAGUGCAAAUGCCGAAACUAUUUCAUGUUAAACCAAGAAAAUAUGAGACGAGGGUGGAUGUUGAAC
ensembl:lncRNA